rnacentral:rRNA from 1 species
UGUUUCGGCUAGGGGGUCAUCCCGACUUACCAACCCGAUGCAAACUACGAAUACCGAAGAAUGUUAUCACGGGAGACACACGGCGGGUGCUAACGUCCGUCGUGAAGAGGGAAACAACCCAGACCGCCAGCUAAGGUCCCAAAGUCAUGGUUAAGUGGGAAACGAUGUGGGAAGGCACAGACAGCCAGGAUGUUGGCUUAGAAGCAGCCAUCAUUUAAAGAAAGCGUAAUAGCUCACUGGUCGAGUCGGCCUGCGCGGAAGAUGUAACGGGGCUAAACCAUGCACCGAAGCUGCGGCAGCGACACUAUGUGUUGUUGGGUAGGGGAGCGUUCUGUAA